UAGGGAAUCUUCGGCAAUGGGCGAAAGCCUGACCGAGCCAUGCCGCGUGUGUGAUGAAGGCCCUAGGGUCGUAAAGCACUUUCGCCAGGGAUGAUAAUGACAGUACCUGGUAAAGAAGUCCCGGCUAACUCCGUGCCAGCAGCCACGGUAAUACGGAGGGGACUAGCGUUGUUCGGAAUUACUGGGCGUAAAGCGCGCGUAGGCGGACUAGUCAGUCAGAGGUGAAAUCCCGGGGCUCAACCCCGGAACUGCCUUUGAUACUGCUAGUCUUGAGUUCGAGAGAGGUGAGUGGAAUUCCGAGUGUAGAGGUGAAAUUCGUAGAUAUUCGGAGGAACACCAGUGGCGAAGGCGGCUCACUGGCUCGAUACUGACGCUGAGGUGCGAAAGCGUGGGGAGCAAACAGGAUUAGAUACCCCUGUAGUCC
rnacentral:rRNA from 1 species